ACAAUCCUUCCACCGUAUACGAUAAAGCCAAUUCUUAAGCAGUUUCACAUGAUGCAACUCUGUGAUGUCAACAAGAAAUACGGCAACGUCUUGCUCAUGUUGUGUGAUGCAAGAAAAUAUGUUAUUUAUUACACACAAGAAUGUAAAAUGAAAGAAAUCGUGAUUGAAGGGGAAUUCCACCAGUUUGACACAUCAAAGUCUUUCAUUUCCUCCUGUACUCCUCCUCCUGCAUCUCAUCUGGGUUAAUGAUUAAUUCUUGUAAACACCGACUGAGAGCUGAGCUGGACGGAAUCCAGGUAACCAAAGGAAUCACCAAAACAAGCAGAGCUUUGACUUGAAGGACGAGCUCAAGACGGACAGAAACAGAAAAGCCAAGUCUUUGAUAUCCAGCGAGGAGGUGAGGGAUCCGAGCUGAACCAGCUCUUCAGACAGAUGGAGAACGUU